rnacentral:rRNA from 1 species
AUUGAACGCUGGCGGCGUGCCUAACACAUACAAGUCGAGCGGUAACAGGUGUAGCAAUACAUGCUGACGAGCGGCGAACGGGUGAGUAAUGCUUCGGAAUCUACCUUAUGGUGGGGAAUAACUAGCCGAAAGGUUAGCUAAUACCGCAUACGUCCUACGGGAGAAAGCAGGGGAUCGCAAGACCUUGCGCCAAAAGAUGAGCCGAAGUCGGAUUAGCUAGUUGGUAGGGUAACGGCCUACCAAGGCGACGAUCCGUAGCUGGUCUGAGAGGACGACCAGCCACACUGGGACUGAGACACAGCCCAGACUCCUACGGGAGGCAGCAGUGGGGAAUAUUGGACAAUGGGGGAAACCCUGAUCCAGCGACGCCGCGUGUGUGAAGAAGGCCUGCGGGUUGUAAAGCACUUUUAGUGGGGAUGAAAUGUGCAGGGUUAAUACCUCUGCAUUUUGACCUAACCCACAGAAAAAGCACCGGCUAACUCUGUGCCAGCCGCCGCAGUAA